UGGUUGUAAAAAUGGAAACAGCAGUUUGAAGAAGUGAAAAUCCAUGGCAGCAAAUCAAAGAACAACUGAUUUUUUUAAGAUCCUUUUCCGAUCCAAACUCGGUAGAUCCACAGAGGACUUCACCUUUUCCGAUCUAUUUAGGCAUCCUGAGAUGGUGGACGAAGUCUUCCUUUGAUCUCUUUGACAAAGGCGUAAGAAGAUCUGAAAGACCAGAAAAAGGAAUAAUAUAGUUUCGAAGAAAAUAUUCAUAUUCCAAUAUAUGAAGACUAUAGAUUUCAUUCUUCUAUGAAGACCAACAUCAUUUAAAAAUAAAAGAUAAGUUAUUUCAAGAUACUUUAACUUCUUUUACAUUAAUAUAAAUCGUUAUUUCAAUGUGAAUAUAGCAUGCUUAGUUUAUUAAUGUGUUGGAAUUUUACAUUUGACAGCUUAGUUUAUAGAAGUUGAAAUAUGUACCUCUAAAUGAACCAAGUUUCUUAACCUCAAAAGCAAAGUGUUGCAGGCAGAAUGGACAAUAUUGGUUAGGUUUCCCCAAAUGCAGCAUGGUAUUCUUGAAUCACUAUGGCACAAGUGAAAAAGCGAGGGUAUAUCGUUUGAUGGUCAAAGAUGAUUUUGAUGGACUGAUUCAGAAUAGGCCUUUUUGUGUUCGGAUUUAAACUUGACAGGUUAUAGAUCAAUAUUGGAUAGACAUUAAUGUUUAUGGGUUAAGUCGGAAUGGGCCUUUUAUGUUUACGGAUUGAAACUGGCAGUUAUGAGAUUUAUUUGAUUUAAAAAAAAAAAAAAUAAACAGUGGCAGAGGGUUGUAAUUA